rnacentral:rRNA from 1 species
ACGGGAGGCAGCAGUGGGGAAUAUUGCACAAUGGGCGCAAGCCUGAUGCAGCAACGCCGCGUGAAGGAUGAAGGCCUUUGGGUCGUAAACUUCUGUCCUUGAGGAAGAUAAUGACGGUACUCUUGGAGGAAGCCCCGGCUAACUACGUGCCAGCAGCCGCGGUAAUACGUAGGGGGCAAGCGUUAUCCGGAAUUAUUGGGCGUAAAGAGUGCGUAGGCGGUUCUUUAAGCGCGGGGUGAAAGGCAGUGGCUCAACCAUUGUUAGCCUUGCGAACUGGAGGACUUGAGUGCUGGAGAGGAAAGCGGAAUUCCUAGUGUAGCGGUGAAAUGCGUAGAUAUUAGGAGGAACACCAGUGGCGAAGGCGGCUUUCUGGACAGUAACUGACGCUGAGGCACGAAAGUGUGGGGAGCAAACAGGAUUAGAUACCCUGGUA